AUUGAACGCUGGCGGCAGGCCUAACACAUGCAAGUCGAACGAGUGGCGGACGGGUGAGUAAUGUCUGGGAAACUGCCCGAUGGAGGGGGAUAACUACUGGAAACGGUAGCUAAUACCGCAUACCAUCGGAUGUGCCCAGAUGGGAUUAGCUAGUAGGGGGGGUAAAGGCUCACCUAGGAGACGAGCCCUAGCUGGUAUGAGAGGAUGACCAGCCAUACUGGAAUGUAGCCAGGGUCCAGACUCCUACGGGAGGCAGCAGUGGGGAAUAUUGCCCAAUGGGCGCAAGCUGGAUGCAGCCAUGCCGCGUGUAUGACGAAGGCCUUCGGGUUGUAAAGUAGUUUCAGCGAGGAGGCGUUACUCGCAGAAGAAGCACCGGCUAACUCCGUGCCAGCAGCCGCGGUAAUAC
rnacentral:rRNA from 1 species